GCAGAACUAUCCCCAGCCACGUUGUAUGAGUGGGAUCGGACAGAUGAGCUGCCAUCACUGACAAAAGACUUCAUAUCCUCCACAAAACUUAGCAGGAAUACCCACCCACCGCAGCGGAGAUGGUGUAAAGGUGUGGUGACUUGUCACAGGUAUCCGUCUACAAGGGUCAAAGCCGCGGAGUCUUCCCCAUGACUGUCCUUGCAAUCCUUGUACCAUCUGUCCACAGAAGAGUGUUAGCAAGUGCACCUUGCACCACCUGGCCUGCCUUUAAUGGAUGCCAUGCCCAGAAAUGAUGAAAGGCAUUGGCUCUUACAAAUGAGACUAUCCCUCCAAUCAAGCUGAAUACUCACCAUGGAGUUGCUUCAUCUCUUCUUCCAGCUUCUGCUUGCGGAUCUUCUUUGGGAUGGAGUCACUGAACACCAAGAGAGACUGAAACUCCUUAUGCACCUCUUCCCAGUUCUUCUUCAGCCCCUGUAAAUGGGAAUGAGAACUCUAAAUACUAAGGCAAUUGAUGGGACAACACUUUCCUGAUCCCCUUGAAGUAAGAUGUGAUCAUGUGACCUGACUUGCCCAAAGAGAGUGGAAGUAACCUCUGUCCCUUUUGGGUAGAAGCCUCAAGAGUUAAUGGAUGACUUGCCAUGUUCUUUUUCUGUUUAGUAUAAUGAUGGGAAAUAUUUGGGAUUGCCUGUGUCUUGGAAUGAGGACAAGAAGCAGAACUUCCAACACUUAAUGGACAUGGAGCAAUAAGCAAACAAUAAAACUUAGUUGCUUUUAGCUACUGAAAUCAGGGGUUAUUUGUUACCAAAGCAUCACUUAACCUA